AUUGAACGCUGGCGGCAGGCCUAACACAUGCAAGUCGAACGAGUGGCGGACGGGUGAGUAAUGUCUGGGAAACUGCCUGAUGGAGGGGGAUAACUACUGGAAACGGUAGCUAAUACCACAUACCAUCAGAUGUGCCCAGAUGGGAUUAGCUUGUUGGUGGGGUAACGGCUCACCAAGGCGACGAUCCCUAGCUGGUCUGAGAGGAUGACCGGCCACACUGGAACUGAGACACGGUCCAGACUCCUACGGGAGGCAGCAGUGGGGAAUAUUGCACAAUGGGCGAAAGCCUGAGGCAGCAAUGCCGCGUGUAUGAAGAAGGUCUUCGGGUGGUAAAGUACUGUCAUCGGGGAGGCGUUACCCGCAGAAUAAGCACCGGCUAACUCCGUGCCAGCAGCCGCGGUAAUUC
rnacentral:rRNA from 1 species